AGAAAUAAAACAAAUAAUUCUGUAUGUUUAGACCAUCUAAAGAGACUUUCCAGAAGCUGGUAGAAUGUGUCUGCGAAGCUGAGGAAGAGGAGCUGACUCAGUGCUUCCUGCAGAAAGUGGGUGGAGAUCUGACUUCCUGUUCCUUGAGCUGGGAAGAACUUCACUAUUUCCUGCAGCACAAGAUUCCACACAUCACUGUGGACCUCAGAAAGAGCAACAUUGCAUGCAAUGUCAGAAAAAUGUUGCCAUUUUUGAACAGGAUUAUAUUUAAAAGGAUGAGCUCUAGCUUCAUGCUGUCUGUAAUUAGAGAGAUCUAUGAGUCCGGCUCUGUUGGUUUUGUGUCCAGUCUGUUGAGUUCAGUGGAGAGCUACAUUAACCUGCAGAGCAGAGAGCUGGACUCUGUUCACUCUGCGGCCCUGCGCUUCACACUGCAGCACUGCACUGCAGUUUCACUCAAUCUACAGUGGACCUCCAUACCAGAGGAAGAGCUGGAGAGCAUUCUGCCUCUCUUCACACAUGUGUCCCACCUCAGUGUUGACAGGCUGCUGUUAAUGAAGAUGUUGCACUGCUGCAGUGUCUCUGAUGUCCAGCAGGAGACAGCAGCAGUUCUGCUCUCUGUCCUGCAGCACAAAUUGGACUUCUCCUGCUGUUCUGCUCUGGAUCUGACAGCAAACACAGACUCAGAGCCUCUACAUCUAACCGCUGAGGACUGCCGUGUGAUGUCCAGAGUCAUCCAGAGCGCUCCUUCAGACACAAAGACACAACUGAUUCUGCAGGACUGUGAGAUUAAUAAAGCUGGAAUGGAUCAGCUGUUCCCAGUGUUAUAUUCUGUUAAACUCUGCUGUGAUAAAUCUCUGCUGCUUCAGUUUCUGGCUCAUGUGAGGCCUGAGGAAGCAGACUCUCUUUCUCAAGCUCUGGGUGAUGAGCUCGACCUCAGUCAGACUCAGCUGAACUCGCAGGUCUGUGAAGCUCUGAAGCUGAUUCUGGAAUAUUCUGAAGGACUGACUGAACUGGAUCUGAGUCAGUGCUGUCUCACCGAUGACAGCCUGGGUCUGCUGCUCCCAAACCUCCACAAAGUGCAAAACAUUGAUUUUAGUGGUAAUAGCAUCACUAACUUUGGGGCUCAGAAAAUCUACAGUAUCGUCACUCGCAACAGUAACAUGAAGACAGUAAGGCUCUUCAACAACAGAAUUGAAUUCAAAGAGCUCUUUUGCACAGACCCACGAUUUGAGAUCUGGUGAUGCCAAGAAACUCUCUCUGGAAUCAACAAGCAGGUGAAAUAACCAGUGGAGAUAAGGUAACAGGUGUAAAAACCUUUGAGGAAUCUGCCCAACCAGAGUCCUAGAGAUGAAUCAAGCCACGAGGUCAUAAACCACAUUCAUGUGUUAUCAUCACUUUCAGUCAUAAUCAACAGUUGGUUUCUGUUGUAUUAUCUGUGACAAAAUCAGUCUCCUUUGUAAACUUUCUUUCCCCUUCUCCUCCCUUUAUAUUAUUUGCAUCAUGCAUAUUAUAGAUCUGAAUAUUUUCUUUUGCCUUUAUUCCUAUAUACAUUUUUAAGUUGCCUUUUCAGUGUAGUUUUUGUUUAUUCUUAUUUUACAAUUAUUUUUCUUGUUUUAGUUUACGUAUAGGUUUUCUUUUUCUUUUUAAUUGUAGUAGCCUGUUUUAACAUUUCCAAAGUAAAUCUGCUUAAUGGAUUUAUUUAAAAAUAGUUUUGUAAGAAGAUAAUCAGUUUUCUAAUUUCACUAUUAGUUUUUAUUUUUAGUAUUUUAGCACUGCCAAAGAAUAGCUACUUGCUGUAAUCCUUUAAAGACUAUUUUGUAAAAACCUUAUCAGCAUUAAAUUUCCAAGCACAGUUUAGUGCUACUAUGAAAUAAGCAUAAUCUGUAUAAACUGGGAGUCUUUUAUUUUUUAAUUACAUGCUAAAACAAUUGCAUUUAAAGCUACUGGCAUAAAACCUUAUGAAUGCUGAAAAAAGUCUUUUGAUAGACCAUAUUUCAAGUAAAAUACUGCAGCUUUGACAUCUUGCUGUUUUAAUAUCAGCAUCAUUCCAGUAGAGAGCAGCAAUGAUUUAUUAAUAACAAGAGCCCAGAAAACUCACAGCUAAGAUAGCAAGGGGGACAUAGACAUGACACAGCCAAAAUAAAGAGCAAGUGCAUUUAUACCA
ensembl:lncRNA